rnacentral:rRNA from 1 species
GACGAACCGUGCAACCGUUAUUCGGAAUCACUGGGCUUAAAGGGCGCGUAGGCGGGCUGGCCAGUCUGUGGUGAAAUCCCCCGGCUUAACCGGGGAACUGCCGUGGAUACUGCCAGUCUCGAGGAGGGUAGGGGCAUCUGGAACAGCCGGUGGAGCGGUGAAAUGCGUAGAUAUCUGGAGGAACACCGGUGGCGAAGGCGGCAUCCUGGACCAAUUCUGACACUGAGGAGCGAAAGCCAGGGGAGCAAACGGG